GUGGAACGGUGAACAUGGUGGUUAAUUCGAUGCAACGCGAAGAACCUUACCUACUCUUGACAUCCAGAGAAUUUAGCAGAGAUGCUUUGGUGCCUUCGGGAACUCUGAGACAGGUGCUGCAUGGCUGUCGUCAGCUCGUGUUGUGAAAUGUUGGGUUAAGUCCCGCAACGAGCGCAACCCUUAUCCUUUGUUGCCAGCGAUUCGGUCGGGAACUCAAAGGAGACUGCCGGUGAUAAACCGGAGGAAGGUGGGGAUGACGUCAAGUCAUCAUGGCCCUUACGAGUAGGGCUACACACGUGCUACAAUGGCGUAUACAAAGAGAAGCGACCUCGCGAGAGCAAGCGGAACUCAUAAAGUACGUCGUAGUCCGGAUUGGAGUCUGCAACUCGACUCCAUGAAGUCGGAAUCGCUAGUAAUCGUAGAUCAGAAUGCUACGGUGAAUACGUUCCCGGGUAAAUGAACCACCCGGCCCCGUAUAA
rnacentral:rRNA from 1 species